rnacentral:rRNA from 1 species
AAAGUUCGCCGUUCGAAUUCAGCUUACUAGCCAUUGGCGAGGUCGGCCCGGUCAUCCUAUCGGAGACUGGUCGAUCGCGCGGGCGACUGGCGGUGGGCGCAUUUUCGAGCGGCGGAGCGCCACGACCGUUUCGGCGGCGGUCAGAACCUCCCGAAGAAGGUGCCCGAUUGCCUAUCGGCGUCGGUGUUAUAGAUUCGGGGUUGAGCGUGUCCCGUCGUCGGAGCGAGGAAGACUUUGCGCGAUCUGCGUCGUAAGUCGAGUCUGCGUCGGUGGCCAAAUUGCACGCACUGUCGUCAGUGCGCGCUAACCGCAUCGGUCUAGGCUCGGCCCUCUCGGCGUAGGUUCGGAGUCUGUGGCGAAUCGGUCGGUAGCCUGUCCGACCCGUCUUGAAACACGGACCAAGGAGUCUAACAUGUGCGCGAGUCGUAGGGCUAUACGAAACCCGAAGGCGUAAUGAAAGUAAAGAUCUGUUUCGCGACAGAUUCGGGUAGGAUCUCGCCGUUAGCGAUAGCGGCGGGCGCACUACCGGCCCGUUUCAGCCGCGUCGUCGGCGAGGCGGAGCUAGAGCGCACACGUUGGGACCCGAAAGAUGGUGAACUAUGCCUGAGUAGGACGAAGCCAGAGGAAACUCUGGUGGAGGUCCGCAGCGAUUCUGACGUGCAAAUCGAUCGUCAAACUUGGGUAUAGGGGCGAAAGACUAAUCGAACCAUCUAGUAGCUGGUUCCUGUCGAAGUUUCCCUCAGGAUAGCUGGCGCUCGUUUACAGCAGUUUUAUCC